AUGAGGAAGGAAAUGCUGAACCACAAAGCCCCUGGAAGGGCAUGGAUACACCCCAAGAGCGAGGAGAAGUGGGAAAAAAUGAAGCGGACCCUGUUAAAAGAUUGGAAGACCUGUUUGAGCUACUUCUUGCAAAAUUCAUCCUCUCCUGGGAAGCCCAAAAAUGUCAAGAAAAGCAAACAGCAAACCUUCAUCAAGCCUUCUCCUGAGGAAGCACAACUGUGGUCAGAAGCAUUUGAUGAGCUGCUGGCCAGUAAAUAUGGUCUUGCUGCAUUCAGGGCUUUUUUUAAAAUCUGAGUUUUGUGAAGAAAAUAUUGAAUUCUGGCUGGCCUGUGAAGACUUCAAAAAAAAAACCAAGUCACCCCAAAAACUGUCCUCCAAAGCAAGGAAAAUAUAUACUGAUUUCAUAGAAAAAGAAGCUCCAAAAGAGAUAAACAUAGACUUUCAAACCAAAACUCUGAUUGCCCAAAAUAUACAAGAAGUUACAAGCGGCUGCUUUACAACUGCCCAGAAAAGGGUCUACAGCUUGAUGGAGAACAACUCUUAUCCCCGUUUCUUGGAGUCAGAAUUCUACCAGGACUUGUGUAAAAAGCCACAGAUCGCCACAGAGCCCCAUGCCACAUGA